UGCCUGGAGACUGUAUGGAUGAGAGCAGGGUAUUAUACUAAACCUGGGAGGACAGAGAAUAUUAUCAUUUCCCCUGUGGAAGGAGGACACACAAAUUGGUGGAUUCAUAUUUUU
rnacentral:snRNA from 1 species